GUGGGCGGAAGCUCAUUGCAGAGGUCACACGCUGAGUGCUCGUCACUCCACCAAUCACCUCUGGGAAGGUCUGAGACAAGAGCCAAUAGUUACCCUUGCAGGGUAUCAUCUGAUACGGGUGAGCGAGUGUUCAGAAAACAUGGGCCAUCGUGAGAAGUCGUAGCAGGAGAAGCCCGGUGGCGCAUACUAAGAGCACCACCCGGUGGAUGUGACUCUCACCGGCUUGAAAUCACUCGCGGCUAGCGGAAGAGUGCAAUGGAUGAGAUGGGGCACAGCUCCACAACCCAAUUCAGACUACUCUCCCCCCAC
rnacentral:RNase_P_RNA from 1 species